AACGAACGCUGGCGGUAUGCUUAACACAUGCAAGUCGAACGAACAAAAUUGGGGCUUGCUCCAAUUUUAGUGAGUGGCAAACGGGUGAGUAACACGUGGGAAUCUACCUAUCAGUACGGAAUAACAUUUGGAAAACCCCCCCGAUGCUAAUACCGUAUAUUCUCCAAGGAGGAAAGAUUUAUCGCUGAUAGAUGAGCCCGCGCAAGAUUAGGUAGUUGGUAGGGUAAUGGCCUACCAAGCCGACGAUCUUUAGCUGGUCUGAGAGGAUGAUCAGCCACACUGGGACUGAGACACGGCCCAGACUCCUACGGGAGGCAGCAGUGGGGAAUAUUGGACAAUGGGCGAAAGCCUGAUCCAGCAAUACCGCGUGAAUGAUGAAGGCCUUAGGGUUGUAAAGUUCUUUUAGUUGGAAAGAUAAUGACGGUACCAACAGAAAAGACCCCGGCUAACUCCGUG
rnacentral:rRNA from 1 species